AAGGCUUUAAGUUAAGCAAACUAAUAACCUUCAAAGCUAUAAAUAAAGAAGUUAUAUCUUUAAGCCUUA
rnacentral:tRNA from 1 species